CUCGAUAGUACAUCUUGGCUUAAAGCUAUACGAUCCAUAAUUCUACUAAACAUUUCUGAUUAUAACAUUUCAAAUAGCGUCUGAAAAUACUGAAGGACUUAUAGAACUUAACACACAGGACGAUGGUAUGUGAUACAUCGUUACACUACAAGAGCUUUAGUACCAUUCACCCUAGAAUAAACAUGUCUUAUUGGGGAUAUGCUAAUAUCAUACUUUACAUAACCUUUAAAUGCAAAUAUUCCACAAUAG